ensembl:lncRNA
CAUUCAGCCAGCUCACUGCCUCUGGUACAACUCGAACAGAGAGAGAGAGAGAGAGAGAGAGAGAGAGAGAGAGAGGUAGUUCAGGAAAUUGAAACCGCUUCAGUUCGAACUUUUCUUUUUUUCACUCGUCUCUUUUAAAACUUUCCGUCCAGCCUCCCUCACUCUCACUUCUGUGUUGACAGUCACUUGAAAGUUUGACAAACUUCACAGCAAUGCGGUGACCAAAGUGCAACAGGGUGCAAGACAGAAGAGGAAAAAGUGCACCGGGACACUGACACCCCUUCUCGGCUCGCUGGUUUGGGGUCUCCACCGCAGGACAGAAGGGGACAAACUGCCACCUGCCUCCCCUGCAGCUGCGUGUGAGAACAAAGAGUCUACUAGAAGAGCCGUGAGCCUGGUACCCUGGACCGGCAGUCUAUGUGGUUUGUGCAUCUCCACUGGUUGUCUGGACAAGCAAUCAUCUCCUCUUUGUCAGGUAAGUGAUCAAACACACUCCUCCAGUGAGUUGAGGUCUCUCCAUCUCUGCACGGUUGAGUGUAACACUUUCAUCCUCCUAAACACUGUCCAUCAAACUCCUGCAAAGUUUACAAACAGGAACCAUCAACAGACACUCACACACUUCGAGUAUUUCUAACCACACAGAUACUCUGCUGUCUGGUACAGUCUCUAAUGACUUGUAAGGCAGCUGUGGGGCAUCUCAUGUCUUCUUUUCUUGCUCAUCGAUGACCCUUGUUAUGUCUUCACGCUGUUGCCUGGAUACUGGGGCCAUAGAGGUGGCCUUGACCGAGAGGGAAAUGAAAUGGCCAGUUCUAAUGGCUAUCAGGAGACAAGCUUCAAAGCCUCCAGGGCCCAAUCUGACGAGUGUAAACAACUUUCUCAUAAACAUGAAAAACGUCUCCUCCCCACAAAACCAUCCUCUACUUCUAAGUGACUGAACUAGGCACAAAAAGUCUAUUGCAGAAUCCAGACCAUUAUAAUUGUGGCUUUGAACAGGAGUGGUUGUGUUUUUUGAAAAGGACUAUAGGUGUAUUUAGUAUGUACUAAAG